AAUGAUGAAACUGCCCGAAGGAACAUUGGUCAAAACCUGCCCAGCAGAUUGACCAGCGAACAUGUUCAUCAUGCGGGAUUGGGGUGCCGGAGUGACCCACGGUUGCCAGCCCCCUUCCCUUGCCCGGGGAGAGCACACCUUCGGGAGUGUCCCCGUGGCACAAUAACAAACCCCGGCGCAGUACGCGCCAAGGAAUAUCAAUACAGUGCGUGCCCGGUCCGUGCUCGGUUCUCCGAGCAUGGAUGAGGCACCCGGUCCCCAAUAUUAAAACGACUCUCGGCAACGGAUAUCUCGGCUCUCGCAUCGAUGAAGAACGUAGCGAAAUGCGAUACUUGGUGUGAAUUGCAGAAUCCCGUGAACCAUCGAGUCUUUGAACGCAAGUUGCGCCCGAAGCCUUCUGGCCGAGGGCACGUCUGCCUGGGCGUCACGCAUCGCGUCUCCCCCAAUCCACCGUGUGUCGGGGAGGGGGAGGAGGAUGGCUUCCCAUGCCUCACCGGGCGUGGCUGGCCUAAAAACGGAGCCUCAGGUUGCGGACUGCUGCGGCGAUUGGUGGUAGACAAGGCCUUGCCUGGGAUGCAAUCGCGCCGUGCAGCACGCAGCCCCUGCGGACUCGAAGGACCCUGAGCCGCCUUCGAAUGGCGGCAAAACCGUUGCGACCCCAGGUCAGGCGGGGCUACCCGCUGAGUUUAAGCAUAUCAAUAAGGCGGAGG
rnacentral:rRNA from 1 species